GUUAUUGUAGCUUAUUAUAUUAAAGCACGGCACUGAAGAUGCCAAGAUGGGUAAUAAACAUACCCCAAAAACA
rnacentral:tRNA from 1 species